rnacentral:rRNA from 1 species
UACGAAGGGUGCAAGCGUUAGUCGGAAUUACUGGGCGUAAAGGGCGCGUAGGCGGCCUUCUAAGUCGAACGUGAAAUCCCCGGGCUCAACCCGGGAACUGCGUCCGAUACUGGAAGGCUUGAAUCCGGGAGAGGGAUGCGGAAUUCCGGGUGUAGCGGUGGAAUGCGUAGAGAUCCGGAAGAACACCGGUGGCGAAGGCGGGUCUCUGGGCCGAUACUGACGCUGAGGAGCGAAAGCGUGGGGAGCGAACAGG